UCACGAGCAGGCGCUGCGCCCCAACCGGCCGGCUCCUGGCGGGCCCGUUGCGGAGAAGCUCCUCAAUGGCCAGCGGCAGCUGCAGCCUCCGCCGUACACUCGCCUCACCUGAUCCCGGGCUCCGUAUGUGGAUGUGAUCUGUGUGAACAGCUGCUACUCUUGGUAUCAUGACUACAGCACCUGGAGUUGAUUCAGCUGCAGCUGGCCACCCUGUUUGAGAAGUGGUGUAAGAUGUUUCAGAAACCCAUUAUUCAGAGCAAGUACAGAGCGGAAAUGAUUGCAGGGUUUCAUUAGGUAAGUGCUAUUGACUUUUUCUGCCCUAUGUUAUCUCCGGACAGCAGCUGUCACUCGCCUCCCGCCCCCCGCUGCCCUGCGCGCC
rnacentral:lncRNA from 1 species